GACGAACGCUGGCGGCGUGCUUAACACAUGCAAGUCGAACGGAAAGGCCCCCACCUUGGUGGGGGUGCUCGAGUGGCGAACGGGUGAGUAACACGUGGGUGAUCUGCCCUGUACUUCGGGAUAAGCUUGGGAAACUGGGUCUAAUACCGGAUAGGACCAUGGUUUAGUGUCUCAUGGUGGAAAAAUUAUUGUUUUGGUGCAGGAUGAGCUCGCGGCCUAUCAGCUUGUUGGUGGGGUAAUGGCCUACCAAGGCGUCGACGGGUAGCCGGCCUGAGAGGGUGGACGGCCACAGUGGGACAGAGAUACGGCACAGACUCCGACGGGAGGCAGCAGUGGGGAAUAGUGCACAAUGGGCGCAAGCCUGAUGCAGCGACGCCGCGUGGGGGAUGACGUCCUUCGGGUUGUAAACUCCUUUCGUUAGGGACGAAGCCACACCUUUUUUGGGUGUGGUGACGGUACCUUUGUUAAGAAGCACCGGCUAACUACGUG
rnacentral:rRNA from 1 species